CUGGUGUCCACCACUGCUGCCUGGGCACGGGGAACAGAGAAUCUGCCUGGUGGGAGCAGACAAGAGGUUCGAGGACCAGAGCUCAUCCUCUUCGACCAAACCAAUGCACAACUCCUACGUACUGAUGGUGGUCUUACGUUUCCCUAAGUUUCUGCCGACUAAACUGUGCACACGUUCUCAGGACCUCCUGAAGCUGCGUCACAGGCGCUGAUCAA
rnacentral:lncRNA from 10 species